GCCAGUGUGGUGUAGUGGUUUGAGUGUUGGACUAUGACUCUAGAGACCAUGGUUUGAAUCCCUGUUCAGCCA